rnacentral:rRNA from 1 species
UUAAUCGUCAACACAAGUGGCCACUACAAACCGCCGCUCGCCAGAGAAGUAUAGGUGAAAAACCAGAAACUCAAAGGACUUGGCGGUGUCCCACAUCAACCUAGAGGAGCCUGUCCCAUAAUCGAUACCCCACGUUAAACCUCACCCACUUUUGCCUCUCAGCCUAUAUACCGCCGUCGCCAGCCUGCCUAAUGAUGGACACACAGCAGGCAAAAUAGUCUUCACUAAUACGUCAGGUCAAGGUGUAGCUAAUAAGUGGGCCUCAGAUGGGCUACAUUUUCUAAAUACAAGAAAACCACCACACGCACUAUGAAACAUAAGCCGCAAGGCGGAUUUAGCAGUAAGCCGAGCAAGACAGCUCAACUGAAAACUGCCCUGGGACAC